rnacentral:misc_RNA from 1 species
AGCGCGCGGGAGAGAUCAAGAGAGUGUCCAUCAAGUCUUUUCCUCGUCAUUUUUUUUUGGUAUCAUGAGUGUCCACGCCACUGAAGAGGCCAUCAGCCCACCCUCCAUCAGCGGCCACGCGGGGCGGCAGCACAGCACCUCUAUCAUGUGCGCAGAGGACCGCGUCGACAACAGCAGCGGCGCUGGCAGCUCUGCUGCAGCCUUUCGCAGCAGCAGUUGCGUGAGUGCCACCGCUAGCGCUGGAGGUGUUGCAGCCGGCGGGCCUCUCACGUCUUGGCGCCGAUCCUUCUCACCUUCCAGUGCCGCGAAUGCGUUGAGCGGUGGCUGUGCGCCCAUCACCACCGUCCACAGUAACAGUGGCGUCGGAAGUGGAGCGUCAACGCAGUCGCGUCUGCGGCCGUCGUCCCUGCAGCACUGCCGAGCGUCUAGUGUGAUGUGGGGUGGACUGGUGGGUGCGCGCGGUGGCACAGCGGCAGCCGGCAGCAACACCAACGCGUCCGCGGUCACCAAUGUAUAUACGCUGCAGCUGCCGGGCGACGACGGUGGCGUUGAGAUGGCCGCGGCAAAGCCGUUGCUGCUGGGUGCACUGCGCAUGCGCGAAACGUACAAGGGCGUGGACAAGGGUCACUGCGAGGUGGGCAUUGGCGGCACCGGCAGCGGCGCAUCCAACAGCCUCACCAGCGCCGCCACUUUGGCUGCCGACGCGAGCCGCGCCACGCAUUCAAUGCAGGGUGUCCCGCACCCGCCCCAACCCGCAUCCCAGUCGCAGCACCUACAGACGCAGCAGCAGCAGCAGCAGCAGCAGCAAGUCCCCUCACCACCGCUCAUGACAGGGCCCACCACCCUGCAGCAGGUGGACGGCGUUUUCCACUGGUCGGACGAGAAGACGCCAAUCGCCUCGUGGGCGCAGUUCCGCGCCGACGUGCUUGCACUGGCGGCGUGCGUGCAGGACCCCUCCUGCGUUGCGGCGAGCAAGUACCGCCUGGAAGUGCUGGAGGAGAAGUACCACCUUCACCGGCUCUACAACGCUGACGUCGAGGAGAACAGCGACCACUACCGCCGCGGUGGCGGCCUCUUCGCGAACGCCUGCCGCGUCGAUACCUGCGUCGGUGCCGCGACCGCAAUGAACGCUCAGGUGCUGGUUGAGUAUAUCCAGCGCACCGUUGACGAGCGCGGCGACGACAUUGUCGGCGUGUCUGACAGCACACCACUGGGAAGAGGGUUGGCCACGGCAGGUGCCAGCGGCGGCAGCAGCGGCGUUGUGGGAGCGUCGGGUGGGGAGCAGCUGACGCUGGCUCGCGUCUGCGAGCUGCUCGACUUCCCCGAACCUUACCUACUGACAGUGGAAGGGCUUGGCCUGCAGCCGUCGGUGAACCGCGCCUUGCCGUACUACGACGCGCUGGACCCCUCGAUGAACGGCGGUGGCCGCAACAGCGCCGCGCUGCUUCGCCUUUUUCUCUCCCUUGACCAACGCCCACAGUGGGGGGCGUACCUGGCGGGUGUGGUGCUGCCGUGCCUGAGGCGCAACGAGCUGCGCACGGGCGGUGUCCAAGCGACGGAAAUGACUCUCGAGAUCACGGGUGCGCUCGCCCAGGAAUGGGAGAACACGGCCGCGUGGGUGCGAACGCACGAGCUCGAUAGCUUCUGCAGCAACCAGUUCCAGCUUGCCUUUCCAGUCACGAAGUGGUGCAGCCGCGGCGGCAGCGUCGGGAGUGGGGCGUUCUCCUUCUUUGACAUGCACGUCGGCCGCGCAUACAGCGGUGAGGCGUGCGAUGACCGCUCGAUCACCGCCAACAACAUGCACGGCGUCGGCCGCGGCCCCUCUGACUCGGUGGCUAACGGGAACGCCGCCUCUGCUGCCGCCCUCCCACCCGGCGCGAGUUCUGACGAGGCAGUGAACUACGACAACUACCAGCAGCUGCUCGACCACAUAUUCCUCCCUCUCUUCAUGGCCACUCUGGCGCCGGAGGACCCGAAAUACGUCGACCUCGCAACGCUGCUGCAGCACACCGGUGCUAUCCUCCUUACUGGCAAUGAGAACGCAGACGUCAUGGGCAGCACCGCGGCCGGCGGUGGUGGGCACGGAUGUGCGAACGGCACUCGCGCGGAUGGUGGCGCUGCAGCCGGCAAAGCCGCGGCGCUGCAUGUGGACGCGAUGAGCACCGACUGGCGGCGUCGUCCGGCUGACACGCCGUACACGGAGCCCGUCUCUCUCACGUACCUCUGCUACUACAUCUGGGCAAACCUGUGCUCACUCAACGCGCUGCGCCGUCGUCGUGGGCAGAACGUGCUGCAACUGCGUGUCGUGGCAUCAAGUGCCACAAUGCCAAACACGUCCUCGGCACACGACGCGAGUCUGCUGCUGCUGUCGUACCUCAUCGCUGACGUCGUCGUCGACGCCGUUGCGCUGGACCGGCAGCCGGUACUGCAGUACCUCUACGGUCUUCACCAGAUCGGCGUGGCCAUGUGCCCCAUCGCCCGUAGCAGUCUCGGCACCACAAGCCUGGACGAGCACCCUGUGGCACGACUGCUGUGGCGCGGCUUGUGCGUCUCGCUCUGCACCCUCAACCCUCUAUACUACCACUCCUCACAGGAACCACUGUUGGAGGAGUACACAACGGCGGCGAAGAUGCACCGCCUCUCGCCGACCGACAUCAGCGAGAUGGCGCUGUACUCCGUGUGCAUGUCCUCGUUCGAAGACGAGGUGAAGGCGUCCUGGGUCGGCGCAGGCCUCCUGCGCGACGGCUGGCGGGCAAACGCGGUCGAGCUGACCAGCGUACCGACGGCGCGGUUGCAGCUGCGCUACGAGUCAUGGACGGCGGAGCGUAAGCUGCUGCUCCCGCCGUCCGGCUCCCCGGCAGGCUUCCCUACAGGGGCCGCAGGGUCCGUCGCCGAGAUCGGGUCGCCGUUGGACGACACGCAGAGCAUGGUCCGCCGCGACAUGGCCACAGCAGCGAGGCGCUUCACCACUACACCGUCGCCGCAUCGGAACGCAUCCAACGCCUUAGCCCCGGAUGGGCAAGCGGGCAUGGGCUUGACGGGCGGGGCAGCUGCUGCACUUCAGUCGCAGGCGCCGUACGCCGUGCUGGACCCCGCCGUCGACUUCCCGCGCGCCACCCUCAUUGGCCCCUUCGACCGCGACAUCCAAAAUGCCCACCUCGUCCAGGCGCUGCAUCGUGCCCUGGACCUUCGCCACCAGUACUGCUCGCUGCCGCUACCACCCGAGCCUUCCUCCAGCGCUGGCGCCGCCGCUAGCGACUCUGUGAGCAACAGUGACGUCAAGGCCGGCUGGCUGGCGGCGCUGACUCACGACCCGCACGCGGUGCUGCCGCACCCAACACAGUCGAUGAGCUGGGCCUUCAAGGGCACCGUGCCGUCGUCGUCGCCGCAUAAAAAGACGAGCGGAGGACAUGCCGCUGGCGCCACCGGCGCGUCCUCGAUGGUGCACGGCGCCAGCUCGUACCUGCAGUUUGACGAGGAUGAGUGGAAGUACAAGACGGUUGAGGGCAUCAUUGUGCCGCAUGAGGUGCACCAGAUUCCGCGUCUGCCGCAGGACAUGUACCACUACACGGAGUUCUGCAAUCACGUCGAGGAGAUACGUUGUCUUAUCGACAACAUCCGCGUCCGAGACUUUGCACUGCGACGGCUGCAGCUGCUAGAGCACCGCUUCAAACUACACGCGGCGGUGAAUCAUAGCCGCGAGCUCGGCAGCACAGCGGCGCGUGCGUCGCACAACCGCGACUUUUAUCAGUCGACCAAGGUGGACAACAACAUUCGCAUGGAGACGGGUAUGACAGCGCGCCAGCUUCUCGCCUUCAUCGUGGAUAAGGCGACGCACAACGGCGACGAUAUUGUGUCGCACCCCAAAGGCAAGGAGCCGCAGACGCUGCGCCAGCUGCUUGCGGACCUGCACAUCACGGCAGACACGCUGACGGUGGACGACUUGAACGUGCAGGCCGGUGCAACAUCGAGCAACGGCGGCGCGCCGCAGAAUCCGUUUGCGUCGGAGGGGCAGCAGCAGGACGAGCUGCUGACGCUGCUGUUGAAGACAGACAACCAGAUGAAUGGCCGCUACUUCGCGGAGCUGACGAAGCGCACCUUCGAGGAGCUGUCGCGCGAUCAGCACACCUUCUCGGAGAGCCGCCUAUCCGUCUACGGCGCCAGUGCCGAGGAAUGGGCGCUGCUGUCGCACUGGUUCGACACCCACGGCAUGUCCUCCUCGCACAACCAGUGGGUGGUGCAGGUGCCGCGCAUCUACAGCUCCCUCCGCAAGGCGGGCCGCGUCGCCAGCUUUGCCGAAUACCUCGAGCACGUCUUCGAGCCCCUGUGGCGCAUCUCGCUGCACCCGAACAGCGACCCUCGUCUUUUCCACUUCAUCAACCACAUUGCCGCCUUCGACUGCGUCGAAGAUGAGCGGCGGCCGGACGUGCCCCUGCACCUGGCGAUGCGCUCCCCGCACGAGUGGACAACGGAAGACGAGCCACCGUACAACUACUACCUCUACCACCUGUACGCCAAUCUGCGCUCGCUGAACCGCUUCCGGCAGCGGCGCCGCUUCUCUGUCUUCUCCUUCCGCCCCAGCUGCGGCGAGGCCGGCAGUGUCGACCACCUCAUUGGCGGUUUUCUGCUGGCGCAGGGCGUCAACUACGGCGUGCGCCUCGCCGACAGCGCGCCGCUGCAGUACCUCUUUUACCUGGCGCAGAUUGGUGUGACGCUGAGCCCGCUCAGCAACAACACGAAGCUGCAGUUGAACUACCUGCACAACCCCUUCCCGCAGUUCUUCAGGCGUGGGCUGCGCGUCUCGCUCGGCACGGAUAGCCCGCUGCUCUACCACCACACGCAGGAACCGCUGCUCGAGGAGUACUCUAUCGCCUCCAAGAUAUGGAAGCUGAGCCCGAACGACCUCUCCGAGGUGGCGCGCAACAGCGUGCUGCUGUCGAACUUCAGUUUAAAGUUCAAGGAGGAGAAGCUCGGUGCCAUGCACUUCCUUUCCAGUAGUGCCGGCAACGACGUUGCCAAGACGCACCUGUCCGACGUACGCGUCGCGUACCGUUUCGAAGCAUAUCACACGGAGGUGGGCUUCCUUGAGUACAUCUCCGGCCUGCAUUUUCACCGCGCGUUGCUGACGCUCGAAAUGGAGGCGCAGUGCAUGCAACUGUACGGCGUCAACGCGAACGACAGCAGCGGCAGUACCGGUGGUGGCGUUGUCGGCCUCAUCGACAAAACCCCGAAGGAGGCAGACCUUGUGAAGCUGGAGGCACAGCGCACGUGCAUGCAGCGGCAGCUGCGGGAGCUGACCAGUGCCGUCAGCGAGCUCCACAGGCAAAACCGGCUCCUCACAACGAAGCUCGCAGAGGAAAAGGAGCGUGAUCAGCUGGCGGCGCAGCUGCGCCGCCGGCGGGUCGAUGCCAAGUUACGUGAGCUGCAAAACCUCGUGACGCAGAAAGAAGUGCGCCCGCACACAAGGGCAGCAUCAGAGCACCAGCAGCCGCGGGAUACGCCGGACGACGAUAAAGGCGAUGUGGACGCCGACAAGAGCGGCGUUCCAUCCGUCCCUCAUCAGCUGACGCCGUGUGCGGCUUCGGUGGUGUCGCCGUCGCCGCUCUCCUCUAUGUCGCUGCGGGCAGGUUCGGCGGCUGCGAGCGUGCCACCAGCUGCAGUGGCGUCAGUCGCUACGCCUAGCGCGCUUCCACCACCGUCUCCGCCAACUCUUCACGCACCGGCCGACAGCGCCAGCAGUACGCUGCGCAAGCAGCAGCAGCAGGGCGACGCCGUGGCGCAGACACGUCGACUGCUGGCGCACACGGAGUCUCUAUGGCGCACCUCCUUCGUGCAGGCCGACGGGCUGCACGGGGCGGAUGGCGGCAGGGGCAAGCAACCGCUCCCGCAGCUGCCUCCGUUGGAAGCCACCAUCACCUCCUCUUCCUCGCAGCCGUCGGCGUCACCUUCGUCACUGCGCAAGCGAUGGUCACCAUCGCCACUCGUCGAUGAUUAACGGUAGAGAGAAACAGAGGCGGGGGCGAUGUGGGAGAAGUGGGAGAAGCGAAUAUGGAGAGGGGGAGGGCGGCGACGGCGGCUGCAGACGUCGGCGAGAUGGCAUGCCCAUGUCGCAUCAGCCGCAAGAGCUUUCUCUUCUUCCCCCCUCCCCGCCACAUCCUCUGUCUGCCUGCCAGUCUGAUCUCUCCUCACCCACCCACCCACACGCAACCUUGCGCUGCCAAUGUCAGCGCCGUGGGCCUCGCACACCUGCACGCCCACUCGUCUGGGGCGGCAGUCCAGGGACGGACGGCGCAGAGACGUCCCUGGCCGCGCCCGCGUGCGGAUGUACCUGUGCGUGCAGCCGUUCUGUGCACACGUGCGUGUGUCUUCUCCUCUUCAUGUUCUUCACCAUCAUGUACAGUAGCACUCGUGCGGCACGGCGGCGGCGGCGAUGGUGGUGGUCGCCGCCGCCGCCCUGUUCCUUUAUGUAUGGCAUGGUCCAUCAAUGACGGCUUGUGCGCACAGAGGCGUGUCGGUCUCUGUACAGAGAUCUGCAUGGCGUAUGCGCGUGUAUGCGCUGUCCUUCAGCACAGAAU